AAUGAAAGCUGGGCCUCGUGAGAGCUGGGAAAACCUGGGUCUGAAUCUUCCCACUUAGCUCGAAGCUCCUGUCUGGACCACAGCAGCCAAUUCUCACAACAUACAGUAGGAUCACGGCGUGAAGAGCACUGACUUAGAAGCUGCAUACGAACACGGCAAAUGACCAGAGAGCAGACACACCAGCUCUGGUGGGACAGCGUUCCUUGGGGAAAACACAGAGACAGGAACAGAUGCUGAAGAUGAACAGCAAGGAUCUCUUGGGAAAAAAUAUAUCUUCAAACAAGGGAGAUCCAGAAAAGCUUUUGUCUUCCAGGCUAGACUAUAGCCUUCUAUGGCCAAGAUGGAAACAGGUCUUACUCUCUAGAAAAUCUACUGUAUUACUAACUCAGUUUCAGCAUCAGCUUCUCAGAGAACUCAGCUUCCACAGUUGGCACCAAGUAUGACCUGAGAGAACAAGUGACAAGACAGAGGUCUGGGGACUGGAUCACUCACCACCCAGCUGGUUACGAAGCCCCCCACCCCUGGGGAUAAGUGGUGUGCAGAGAGCACUUGGCCUUAGAUGGUGGUCCAGUUGUUAGAUGCUUCACCAGACCCAGGACCUUAGGAACCAGACCUGGACACCUGCCACCCCUGGGACAACCUCCAGGACACCAGGAGCCCUGAUGUUUCAAGGUGAAAGAAGAUCAGGAAGAAAGGUAUCUUUCAAAUCAAUGCCAUUUAGGCACUACAGGAUGGUUUUAGAAGUAGAUUUUAAUUUCAUAAGUAAUGCAUAUUCAUUGAAGAAAAAUUAGAAAAUCUAUUUCCGCAAAGAGAUAAAAAUCUCACCAAACAUACAGGAACCAUUGAUAAUCUCUGAUUGCAUUUUCUCCAGGUUUUUCUCAUUAAUAUGAUUAUGGACGUCAUGGAUGUGUUUUUGUAACAAGCAUGAGGAGUACAGGCAGUUUUAGAACCUGCUUUUCUAAAGAAUGGAUUAUUGUGCCUUGGGUAUAGUUCAGUCAUUUUCCAGAGAUACAAGUUCCCCUAUACUACAUUCUCUAACAUUUUGUAAUUUAAUGCAUCAUUGACCAAACAAGUGACUGUCAGUGGGCCAGGAACAAAAAGAAUUAAUUUUUUAAAAUUAUGUUUCUGACCUAAGGUCGGCCUAUUAUGUGCUGGAAGCCGUAUGCAUCAUCUCAUUUAAUCCUUACAUUAAGCUGAUUGAUCUCUCUCAUUGUAUAGAUAGAAAAAAACCCAGGUUUAGAGAGGUUAAUGAACCCUCCCAAGGUCACACAGCGAGGAAUCGGCAGACCCCUCAUGUAUCUGAUGCUGCACUUCAGCUCUUUCCAAAUUACUGAUCCAUCAAUGAAAUAGACUUUGACUUGGUGCAGGCAGAGAUGUGUGUAGCAGUACCAAUCAUGUGAUCUAGACCGUAAAAGAAAGCACCCACUGUUACCAUGGGGCCCAUCGGCAGCAUUUCAUGUGAAUGUCUCUGAUGAAGGCCCACCCAGAAGGUCAAUGUCAGCCUCUACUGAUGAGCCUUUAGCAUACCAGGCAAAAUGAGGCAGCUGAGCAGGCUUAUUAAGGCCGAACCAGCUUUGCCCUCUUGGUAUUCAGAAAAGUAGGCAGAUGUUGUCCUCAACUGGCAUUCUCCUGGCUGGAGCUGACUGGAAAUGGUACCAGUCCUAAGAGGGGCUCCAGAAAAUCCUGGACAAGCACACCCAGGCUCUAUGAAAUUCAACUUCUCCUUGGAAAAAGGGUCCCUUCUGUUUCUUGUAAAGAUUCAGGAUGAAACAGGCAGAUUCCUCCAUGGUCACCCCUGGACCUUGGCUGACCACAUUCUGAAAGAGUAGGACAAACAAUUACUCCAUAUUAGGCACUUUUUUUCUUCAGGGGAUGAAACCCAAGAAUGCAUGUGCCCACUUGCAGAUUUUGGCAUCUCUGCUCUAAAGUUGGAAGGAUUAGCACUCUAUAACUUUACUCUUUGCUUGUAUGGGGAGUAAUUAUUUGUUAGAACAACAGGCUUUCGUUUCCUUCAAUGCUACAGUCAUAACUCUAAACAAUUUUAACGUCUUUGAAGAGAAUUAAUUAGCUCUUCUGUUGAUACUUCUAAAGCGCUUUAAUGCAGGUCUGGUUUUAUACUCAGCCUUUAAAAGAACUUCCAUGGCAGCCACUUAACAGAUAACAGACUUUUCAGGAAAUGCCCGAUGCUUUGUAGCAUCUGAAAGGAAUCAUGUUUGAUAGACAUUUGUGCAAUUAAGAAAUAUACUUGCUCAUUGAUAAAAGGGUACUGUUGAUGAAAAUUCCUUUAAAAAUUAAAGGUAUGUCUUAUAAUUGAUUUUUUUUACUUAGUCGAAAAAUAAUGGCAUGACCAUUUUCUUUAAUUGUAAGGAAACUUUAAAAGAUAGGACGAUACUCAGUGCCAGGAAAAUUACAAUUUGUUUAAAAUCUCCAGAGUAAAAUUCCUUAUUUCUCUAGGUGGUUCGUUCCUAUGUUUUAUAGACAUUUUCAUUUCAACUCUUCCUAGGUUAUCCUUAAAUCAGAUUUAUUGAAAGCCAAUGAGUACCUGCUAUAUGCCAGGUUAAUUUGGCAACUAUCAUUUUGCUUUAUUUUUAAAACUGAAGUAUAGUUGACUUAUUUAUUGUGUUAAUGUCAGGUAUACAGUAUAGUGAUUCAGUAUUUUUGCAGAUUAUAUUCCAUUAUAGGUUAUUACAAGCUCCAGCGACUUUGCCCGUCCUGUUGCACCACAGAGGGAACGCCUGGCAAUUAUUAUUUUAAAUAAUCCUCAAAACCCAUUCCCUACAACAGGUAGUAGUCUAGUAACAAAAUACCUCCAUCUUCCAGAUGAUAAAAUUAAGAUUUGGGCAAAUCAAUUGACACGGUUCAUUCACACAAUUCGAAGGGCCAGAAUCAGAAUUUGCACCCAGGUCUUCAGCUGCCAGGGUCCAGCAAGCCACACCUGCUUUUCUGUGGGCUGUGGGGCUGCUAUGGAAGGGUAGCUCACUCAGUCACAGGCACAACUGUCCCUUCUCUUGUCCUUGUCUGCAGGCCAAGGCUCAGGGGCUACUUCCCCAACCUACUGAUUGUGACCCUUGGCUUAGACUCUGGGCAUCUUCAUUUAUAAAGCUUUCCAGGUCAUUUUUCAUUUCCAUUUAAAUCUAUGAAUCCAAUUCCUUUGGCCUCUGCUCACCAAUCUCCUUUUUUGCAAACCAUCUUCAUUUUGUCAUGGUCCCUUCUGGGACUUAACCGUCAUAAUUAACGUGGAGUCACCCUAUAAGAGACCACCAGCUCCUGGAGACAGAAUGAUGGACCUCGUGGCCUUUCCCCCUCAUAUCAAACUUUUUCAACAUCUUCUCACUCAUUCAAUGCUUAGGUUAAAGAGUUCAAUGACUUUUUUCAAAAGCUAAGAGGGGUCGGUCUCUAGACGUAAGUGUGAAGGCAGAAUACAUCCGUGUAAUUGAAAGAACACGAAAAGUCAGCAGACUUUUCUUCAAAACCUUGUGAUGUGAUUUUGGCUAAGUCAUUCACUCUCUUAAAUUUAUAAAAUAGGGAUAAUCAUAGGUACCUCUCAGAGCUAUUUGCUGUCAUGCAUGGGCCACCAAACUCAAAAAAACUUCUUCUUCCCAGCCGGCCUAGCCAGAGCAUCACACUCAAAAAAAAAAUUCAGUUCAAGAAUGUCUUGAAAAGCACUGUAUACCUGUAUGGAGGUCUCUAAAGAUGAAAGCAGGGCUUACAAAUGGCAGUACACCUGUGAGCAAGCCAUGGAUUGAGGGCGAAACUGCCCAAGUUCAAAAUGCAACACCUUCACUUCUUGGUUGUGUGUCCUUGGGCAAGUUGUUAGGUCAUUUCUAUGCCUCAGUCUCUUCAUCUGUGAAAUGAAGGCACUAACGGUAUUUCCCUCAUAGGUCUAGAAAUUCCAAGAUGUAAAACAACUAUAGCAGAAGGAAUCUUCGAGGUUGGCUGCCUUGUUUCUUAGAAACCUAUCUUGAUUGUAGGAACAUGAGACAAAGCUUGCAGAAUUUAGAUGCAGGGCCUGGAUCUGUGUCCUUCCUACCUGCUGUCCUGACUAUCACCCCUGCCCCUGCCCUGACAUCUGCUUCCAACAAUCUCGAACCUCUGGAGACUAAGCUUCUCCUACAUACAGCCAAGGCCUGGAGUCUCAGGAUUAAAUGUGUCACUAGAUUUAAGGACAGUGCUUGGGACAAAGUCUAGAAAGUGUUUGCUAUUAUUGUAGCGUGUAGCAUUUGACAGAGCAAAACAUCCUUAAUUUUUUUUUUUUUUUUAGGGCUACACUCAUGGCAUAUGGAAGUUCCCAGGCUAGGGGUCAAAUCAGAGCUACAGCUGCCAGCCUACACCACAGCUCACAGCAACACCAGAUCCUUAGCCCACUGAGUGAGGCCAGGGAUGGAACCUGCCUUCAGGUUCAUUUCUGCUGCACCAUAGUGGGAACUCCCCAAAGCAAAACAUCCUUAAAACCCUUAGCUCAAGAAGGUCCCUGAGAUCCCACACUGGGGAGCAGCUGCCCAAGUCUCUCACCUCUUAUUCUCCUGCCUCCCAGGCUAAGGGCUCCACCUGCCUUUCAGGUAUCUACAUCUCCCUCCCCCCAGAGGCUCCAGCUCUUUCAUAGGCAAUGUGAUGUACCCCUUUCUCUACUUGCUUUGUUUCUUUAAUCUAGCACCCCAGUCUUUACCCCCGUCAGCCUAACAGAUGUUGUCAAGGGCCUGAGGAGGCAGAAGGUGACAGGAUAUUUUUGUCACACACCCCAUAAUAUAUUUAUGAUGCUUGGUAUCUUGUGGAAACUCAGUGAAUAUGAGUUUCCUCCUCACUUUAGUAUCAAACACAGGACAAUAAGGGCAAAGCGACCUAUUUCAGAUGCUUAUGGGAAGUUGCAUACCACCAAUUCUUCCUCUUUCAUGGUGCAUUAAUACACCUGCCUCAUGACAUUGGUUCUGAAAACCAGGAACAUAGGCAGACCCACAGGCUGAGGGCAUAUGCAAUCUGAGGAUCUAGGUCUGUGCUGUCCAACAUGGUAGCCACUAGCCAGCCAAGCCUGUUUCAAUUACAAUGAAUGAAAAUGAAAUAAAAUUCAAAAUUCAGUUCCUCACGGAGUUCCCGUCGUGGCUCAGUGGUUAAGGAAUCCGACUAGGAACCAUGAGGUUGUGGGUUCUAUCCCUGGCCUUGCUCAGUGGGUUAAGGAUCUGGCAUUGCCGUGAGCUGUGGUGUAGGUAGAUGCAGCUUGGAUCCCAUGUUGCUGUGACUCUGGUGUAGGCCAGCGGCUACAGCUCUGAUUAGACUCCUAGCCUGGGAAUCUCCAUAUGCC
rnacentral:lncRNA from 1 species